ACAAGCUGACCCAGCCCUCAAAGAUGGCACCUUCCCCUCCACCCCCCACCCCCACCACUACCACCCCUGCCCUCCUGCCGUUUGCACACAGCUGGCUGUUUGCCAAACCCAAGCUGGUCUCUUCUUUCGAGACGGAUGCAGCUAAUCUGUGUAGUGGAAGCAGAGGAUUCCAGGCCGUUCAGGCAAAAGCCCAGAGUUGGUUUGGAGUAGAAUCCAGCCCCAGGUGGGCCCACCACUUGAUAUAUCGCAGCCCAGGGUUGUGUGGCAGAACCAGUGCCAGGAGGAGAAAGAACAUUCCAUGUGUGUGUGACACAGCUGUGACGGGCAGAAGCAGAGAUGUGAUGUCCCCAGGGCGUGGUUUGGGAAACUUGGCUGCGGUCAGUAGGAAGCCCAGGAGAGAAAGCAGUGACGUGGGAAGAGCUCAGGAGUCACCAGACCUGGGCUCAAGUCCCAGUUUUCCUGUUUACCAGGGGAAGAAACUGAAGCUUAGCAAGGUGAAAGGGCAGAUGCAGGAGGAAGUCCACCUCCAGAGUCCUGCUCUUAUCCAUGAGGACAUAUGUGUCCCUUUUGGAUGUUCUUGA
rnacentral:lncRNA from 1 species